GAUCCAUCGACGACAUAUAUUGGCUAUAUGCAGAAAGUCUUGGUUAAGUCUUUGGCCCCGACGCCAUUCGAUCCCACGCCUCCAAUAAUUAAUAUCAUUCCCAUCCAUACCAUGUCCAAGUACUGCUACUACUCUUACUCCUCCUCUACUGGCAAUUUCCCCCAUCACAGCAGCACUGAUCAUCCUCAUCCUCAUCCCGAUCGUGAUCGUCAUCGUCAUCGCGAUGGCGAUAAUGUUCAAGGAGGACGCCAUCAGGAUUUUUAUGACGAGCUAGCCGAGUUUCUGACGGUCGUUGAUCGCUCCGAUGAAAGCUUCCCGUCGUCGAUAACGAACAUGCCCCCUAAUUCUAGUUCUGCAUGCGUUUCAGCCGCACUCGGGAAUGACAACAUGCAACUAGUGAACGUGGGUGAAUGGGAAGCUAGAGUGGCGUUUCGAACCAAGUCUGAGAAUGAGAUCAUGGACGACGGGUUUAAAUGGAGAAAGUAUGGCAAGAAGAUGGUCAAGAACAGCCCUUAUCCAAGAGUGAACGUGGGUGAUGGGGAAGUUAGAGAGGAGUUUCAAACCAAGUCUGAGCUUGAGAUCUUGGACGAUGGGUUUAAAUGGAGAAAGUAUGGCAAGAAGAUGGUCAAGAACAACCCUUAUCCAAGAAAAGAGCUCAAAUCACCUUAAAUAUAUCAUAAUGCAUAUAUAGGUUGAAGAUGCAUGCGAGCGCGAGCGGUCGCGCGCGAGGCGGCCAGGCGGUGGAUGCGGCUUCGAAUCCGCGGGCAGGCGCGCGAGGGGGGGGAUUUUUGGCUGAUUUAAUUCAGCCUCUAGACGUCGAAACGACGUCGUUUCGUCAAUGGCGGUGGCUCCCAGUGGCUGGCCCGCGCGCUGCCACGUGGCCGCGCCUCAGCCGCUCGUUUUUGGCCGAUUUAAGCCCGAUUUCGGGCGUUCUUUUUGCAUGCGAACAGUAAGGAAAUUGCAGAAAAGAACAGCAGCGUGCGCGAGAGAAAUUUCUGAGAUUUUGGGGCUUCAAAAAUUGGAUUAAACUCCGUUUAAUCCCUGAUUUAAUUAUCCAGGUAAGGGUAAAGCAAAGGCCGAGGGCGAGGAUCGUUCCAUUUAGCAGCCGGCCGCGUUGGUAAGGUGUACAGUUAGCUGCCCCCGUCAUCUCUGAUGUUUUGCUAGAGUCGCUGUCUUUUAUUUUUGACUGUGCCAGGUUGUCAUUUGUACCUUCUAUUGUUGGCACAGGGUCUGUAUGUAUUUUUAUAUACUUCAUGACCGCUGUAUCAGCGGGGUGCUUGUGGGCAUGCCUGUUUACCGUUUUACUUCCGCUGUUAAAUUUCUUAUUUAUGUAUGCCAGGGCAUUUCUGUCUUUUGUCUAUUCCUCUUCCCUUCUGUGAGCGCACUCGUUCGGAUCGACCGGGUGGUUGGGAUAUCCGGGCGGGGGUGCUUACAGAACAUAGACUCAAAAGAAUGGAACCUCUAUAA